GCGGGCGUGGCGAAAUCGGCAACCGCGCGGGUUUUAGGUGCCCGUGCUCGAAAGAGCUUGAGGGUUCGAGUCCCUCCGCCCGCACAA
rnacentral:tRNA from 1 species